rnacentral:rRNA from 1 species
UACAGAGGUCUCGAGCGUUGUUCGGAUUCAUUGGGCGUAAAGGGUGCGUAGGUGGCGCUGUAAGUCAGGUGUGAAAUUUCGGAGCUUAACUCCGAAACUGCAUUUGAUACUGCGGUGCUUGAGGACUGGAGAGGAGACUGGAAUUUACGGUGUAGCAGUGAAAUGCGUAGAGAUCGUAAGGAAGACCAGUGGCGAAGGCGGGUCUCUGGACAGUUCCCGACACUGAGGCACGGAAGGCCAGGGGAGCAAACGGG